rnacentral:rRNA from 1 species
GCAGGCCCUAACAAUUGCAAGUUCGAGCGGUAGCACAGAGAGCUUGCUCUCGGGUGACGAGCGGCGGACGGGUGAGUAAUGUCUGGGAAACUGCCUGAUGGAGGGGGAUAACUACUGGAAACGGUAGCUAAUACCGCAUAAAGUCGCAAGACCAAAGUGGGGGACCUUCGGGCCUCAUGCCAUCAGAUGUGCCCAUAUGGGAUUAGCUAGUAUGUGGGGUAACGGCUCUCCUAUCCCACAAUCCCUAGCUGGGCUGAGAGGAUGACCAGCCA